rnacentral:rRNA from 1 species
GACGAACGCUGGCGGCGUGCUUAACACAUGCAAGUCGAACGCAGUGGCGCACGGGUGAGUAACGCGUAAUCAACCUGCCCUUCCGAGGGGGACAACAGUGGGACACGACUGCUAAUACCGCAUACUGAAGGAGGGGAUUGCGUCUGAUUAGCAAGUUGGAGGGGUAACGGCCCACCAAGGCGAUGAUCAGUAGCCGGUCUGAGAGGAUGAACGGCCACAUUGGGACUGAGACACUGCCCAGACUCCUACGGGAGGCAGCAGUGGGGAAUCUGCCGAAAUGGACGAAAGUCUGACGGAGCAACGCCGCGUGAGUGAGGACGGCCGUCGGGUUGUAAAGCUCUGUUAAUCGGGACGCGGUACCGGAAUAGAAAGCCACGGAUAACUACGUGCCAGCCGCCGCGGUAAUAC